rnacentral:rRNA from 1 species
UUCCCGAAUUUAGGAGAGCUAUUUAUUUUAUUGUCAUAAAUAUAUAUAAUAAGAAAUGAAACGUUAAGAUAUCUGGUUUUCUAAGAAAAUUUAAUUUGGUUAUAUUCUGAGGGAUUAGCUUCAGAUAGGAUUAGUAGUGUUUUUAUAGUUUUUCUAUUAGAAUUUUUGAUAAAAUUAUUGAAGGAAUAAUGAUUAAAUUAGUAUAAGGUUUAGUUAAGGAAUUCGGCAAAAAUUUUCUACCUGUUUAUUAAAAACAUGGCCUUUAGAUUAUAAUUUUAGGUCUAACCUGCCCACUGAGGCCGCGGUAUUUUGACCGUGCAAAGGUAGCAUAGUAAUUAGUUUUUUAAUUGAGAGCUGGAAUGAAUGGUUGAAUGAGAAAAUAGCUGUCUCUGUUAAAUAAAAUUUUAUUUUUAAGUAAAAAAGCUUAAAUGCUUCUAAAAGACGAGAAGACCCUAUAGAGUUUGAUUUUGGUUGGGGUGAUCAAAAAAUUAAUAAAACUUUUGAUUAUAAGAUUAAAUUACCUUAGGGAUAACAGCGUUAUUCUUUUUAGAGUUCAAAUCGAAAAAGGAGUUUGCGACCUCGA